GCUGGGCGUGGUGGCGGGCGCCUGUGAUCCCAGCUACUCAGGAGGCUGAGACAGGAGAAUCGCUUGAACCCAGGAGGCAGAGGUUGCAGUGAGC
rnacentral:miRNA from 1 species